rnacentral:rRNA from 1 species
CCUACGGGAGGCUGCAGUGGGGAAUAUUGGACAAUGGGCGAAAGCCUGAUCCAGCCAUGCCGCGUGUGUGAAGAAGGCCUUCGGGUUGUAAAGCACUUUCAGUGGGGAAGAAAGCCUUGGGGCUAAUACCCUCGAGGAAGGACAUCACCCACAGAAGAAGCACCGGCUAACUCCGUGCCAGCAGCCGCGGUAAUACAGGAGGGUGCGAGCGUUAAUCGGAAUUACUGGGCGUAAAGCGCGCGUAGGCGGUCUGAUAAGCCGGUUGUGAAAGCCCCGGGCUCAACCUGGGAACGGCAUCCGGAACUGUCAGGCUAGAGUGCAGGAGAGGAAGGUAGAAUUCCCGGUGUAGCGGUGAAAUGCGUAGAGAUCGGGAGGAAUACCAGUGGCGAAGGCGGCCUUCUGGACUGACACUGACGCUGAGGUGCGAAAGCGUGGGUAGCAAACAGGAUUAGAUACCCUAGUAGUC